GGCAAUCCAUGUGCCCAAAGCACAGAUAGUCUUCGAUGAAAAAUACACUUACCAAAACUCUUCCGGCAAUGGAUUCAAAUUUUGAAUCUUAAUUCCUAAUCUUAACUUUUUCAAAAUCUCACACUCUCUCCCUCAGAAACAACCAUCGAUCAUAUAUUUCCUCUCCCCCACCAUGUAUCGCCGCCUUCUCCACCAAAUACAACAACUUCAUCACUCACCACAUGCUCCACCGGUGUCGCCUUCUCCACUUCCAUAUGACCACCGCCCCACCACCAUCCAUCGAUGUCGCCUUUUUCGCUUCCACUAUGCCUCCCUCUAUUUCUUCUUCAAUAUAUAUGUAACUUAUCAACCACACCAUUUAUUUGAUGCUCUCUUUCUCUACUGUAGAAACGGGAAAGAUACCUGGGAAAGACACAAAUUCCAUCGCCAUUGCUGUAGAAUACAUCAUCUCAUGAUUAAAUAUCUUCCCCUGUCGAUCUACAAGGGAUUUUGACGUUUCUGGGAUUGAAAUCGAACAGGGGAUUGUAAUUUCUAACAUUCAAAUCGAACAGAAUCGCAGAUAGAGGAAAGAAAAGAAACUUGGAGACCAAACAUGAAGCCUAACCAUAAGAGGUUUGAUUUUGAUUUAUUUUUGCAUUUUUGCAGUCAAAGAUGGAUGAAGACAUAUCUGGAGGAGACAAGUCUGUGAAAUGAGUUGAAAGACAUUUUGAGCCAAAGAAGUGGGCAUCCUACUAGCCCUAAAAAAUAGAGCUGACAAUUCUCGACACGACCCGUGACACGACAGGAAAUAAAUGGGUUUGGGUUGAGUUUUUCAACCCGCCAACCCGCCUAUUAAACGGGUCAUAUAUGGGUUUUUCAAAAAAUAAAUGAGUUGACCCGCCAACCCGUUUAUAUACUCAAUAAAAAAAAUUAUUUUAUUUUUAAAUGUAUUUAUAUAUCAACUAUUAAUAUUUAAUAAGUCUUAUAUAAUAUAUAUCAUUGAUUAUUAGACCA